rnacentral:lncRNA from 12 species
CAGGACAGCUCUGGGGACACUCACCCGCCCUGGCCGUGCCUUGGCUCCGCUGGCCGCUCUGGAGCCACCGCCUGUCCCCAGGACUGGGGCUGGUGACACCCCGAGAGUGGAGCCAGUGACACCCUGGGACCAGGGCCAGUGACACCCCAAAACUGGGGCCAGUGACACCCCAAAACUGGGGCAGUGACACAUCGGGAUUGGGGACAGUGAGACCCCGAGACUGGACCCAGUAACACCCCAAAAUAUGGGCUGGUGACACCCUGGGAUUGGGGCCGGUGACAGCCCAAAACUGGGGCCGGUGACACCCCAAGACUGGGGACAGGGACACCCCAAAAUUGGGCCAGUGACACCCCAAGAUCAGAGGCAGGGACAUCCCAAGACUGGGACCAGGGACACCCCAGGAUCAGGGCCAGUGACACCCCGAGACUGGAGCCAGUGACACCCCAAGAUCAGAGCAAGGGACACCCCGAGAUGGGGGCUGGGGACACCCCAGGACUGCAGCCAGUGACACCCCAGGACCAGGGCUGGGGGGUCGUGGCCCCCCAGGAUCAGACCCCAGGGGGA